CCUACGGGAGGCAGCAGUGGGGGAUAUUGCACAAUGGGGGGAACCCUGAUGCAGCGACGCCGCGUGGGUGAAGAAGCGCCUCGGCGCGUAAAGCCCUGUCAGCCGGGAAGAAAAUGACGGUACCUGAAGAAGAAGCCACGGAUAACUACGUGCCAGCAGCCGCGGUAAUACGUAGGGGGCAAGCGUUAUCCGGCUUUACUGGGUGUAAAGGGGGCGCAGACGGCGAUGCAAGCCAGGAGUGAAUGCCAGGGGCCCCACCCCGGGAAUGCUCUUGGAACUGCGUGGCUGGAGUGCAGGAGGGGCAGGCGGAAUUCCUGGUGUAGCGGUGAAGUGCGUAGAUAUCAGGCGGAACACCGGGGGCGAAGGCUGCCUGCUGGACUGCAACUGACGUUGAGGCCCGAAAGCGUGGGGAGCAAACAGGAUUAGAUACCCGGGUAGUC
rnacentral:rRNA from 1 species